rnacentral:rRNA from 1 species
UUACGGAAGGCAGCAGUCGAGAAUUUUUCACAAUGGGGGAAACCCUGAUGGAGCGACGCCGCGUGGGGGAUGAAUGGCUUCGGCCCGUAAACCCCUGUCAUUCGCGAACAAGUUGGUUCAAUUAACACCUGAACCAUUGAUAGUAGCGGAAGAGGAAGGGACGGCUAACUCUGUGCCAGCAGCCGCGGUAAUACAGAGGUCCCAAGCGUUGUUCGGAUUCACUGGGCGUAAAGGGUGCGUAGGCGGUCGGGUAAGUCUGAUGUGAAAUCUCACAGCUUAACUGUGAAACUGCAUUGGAUACUAUUCGGCUUGAGAGUUGGAGGGGGGACUGGAAUUCUUGGUGUAGCAGUGAAAUGCGUAGAUAUCAAGAGGAACACCAGUGGCGAAGGCGAGUCCCUGGACAACUUCUGACGCUGAGGCACGAAAGCUAGGGGAGCAAACAGGAUUAGAUACCCCCGUAGUCCC